rnacentral:lncRNA from 9 species
GCUGGCGACAAGUGUUCUAACAAGUCCUUGCGUGACUCAGGAGGGCCACUACGUGCGUGCGAGCAAGGCUUUAGUAACGCGGCCUGUGAACCGUGCCUCUACUAGGACACACUCUGGGCCAGGAAAGACAAAGACAAGCACAGGAAGGACAAAAAAUCGAGGGUGGGGUGUCCCUCCAAGGACUCGCCCUGGCCCAGGGAGCAGAGGAAGUAGCGGGGCGGGGGACCUGAGGCCACCUGAGAUGAGGUGUGACAAAAGCGGAUGAGCAUCUUUGCUGCUGUCCCACCUCCCGUUGUUCUGAGGGUCUCCAGGCUGUGCUGUUGUUUCCUUAUUGCAGCUGAAGGGAGGCGCCCUGCCCUGGGCACCACUUCCUCGACUGAGAAUGCAAACUUCUGCCCACGCCCCUCCCCUCGGUGGGAACAAGAAGUGAAACGAGGCUGCAGAUGGGAGGAAGGGGGCCAGCGGGGGUCCUCUGGAGACACCCAGACUUUCUGGUUCACUCUGACGGCACAGUCCCAGCUGUUCCAGGAAAACAGAAGUGGUGCCCUCAGGAAGCUGGGACCAGGAGCCGCUGACUCCAGACUGCCCACCAGGCUCUGGUUCUGCAUGUGCUUAACAGCCAACUGGGACGGACAGCUCCAGUCCCCAUGUCCCUCACCCGUGUGGCCUUUAUCAGACCUUCGCAGCCCUAGCACCAAGUCCUACCCCAAACCCUCAGCUGCCCACCCUGCAACACUGACCAAACCCUGAGUCCAGCCAUCUGGCCCUCAGAAACUGUCCCCGGCUCCAGGCCAAGCUGCCUUACAGAUGGGCCCUGGGUUCCCUAGGAAACUGCAGGCUGAACUGGCUGUCAGUGGAGGGUUUCGGCUGUGUGGUUGGCCACCUGGGCAGAAGCCUUGCAAACUGCCUUCUUACCUGGUACUUCCCCUUCCUGAGCUCCAAACUCAACCCUUUCUGAGUCACCUGGGCCUUGGACACCUGUCCCUUUGGAGUCAUUUACAUCUUAGAAACCCAGGCCUUCUAAAUCGCAGUCACCUUGGAUAUCAGAUGAGUGCCCUGCCUCAUUUCAGUCUUCUGGACUCUUAAAUAUUUCAGCUGGUUCUUGGUGUUCCUCCUGCAUAUCCUAGGCCCGUGAGGGCUGGACUCCAAGAACUGGCCACGCCAUUCCUAAAACCAAGUCUCUGAGUCGCCAGAGCCUUGGUUACUUGCCCAGAUUAACAAAACCCCGAAGCAGGGUCAGCGUCCGGCCUUCACUCACCCCUCCGCUCAUGCAUCCACUUCUCCCGUCAACGAGGGUUCACGGAGCAGGUGCUUUGGAGCCACAGCACGUGCCAGUCGCCCAGCAAGGAAUGGCAAAACAUGCUUCCCAGACUGCAGAUGCUCACAGCCCAGGGGAAGGUGUCCAAGGCGAUCUAACCCAUUUCAGCCCCAUUGAACCAUGUCACAGUGAGUUGGGCAAGUUUCACGUACCAGGUGAGCACUCGGGAAAGGCAUCUAACGCGUGCAGGGACUGUCUUCCUCAGACAGUGAGUGAUAUGGAGUCUAGGCUGAAUCCUGAAUGGCAGGGGUUCCAGUGGGGACGGCACUCUGGAUGUCCCGUGUAAAAACCCAAAGAGAGCACGACUCAGAAGGAGGAAUGGAAAACAUCGCAUGACGGGUGUCACGGGAGAGGGCUGCAGGGCCUGACCGUAUCGAAGUUGGUUGCUACCCUGAGGGCGAUGGGAAGCCACAGAGGGAGUCUGAGUGGCACCCACCCCACCUGCUCUGCUCUUCACGACCAAGAGCUUCACUUGGAGACUCUCACUUUGCCAUCUGAUGGAGGAUGAGUUAGAGGGAAGGCGAGGUCUCGGGCAGGAAGAGGCGACUGUGGCAGGAUUCCAAGAAUGUGGUAAGGGCCUGCACCAAGGGACUGGUAAAAAGCACUGGGGAUGUAACAGCAGUGGGACUUGGUGGUUGACUGGGCAUGAAGAGGGUGCAGCAGGGAGGGGUCUCGAGUGAUGCCCAGGUCACCAGGAUGAUGGAUGCUGGAUGGUGGGAACGUGGUGCUGUGAAGUGUCCUUAGAGGAUAAAGGAGGAACGGGAGACAAGGUCCUCAACAGCAAGAGCAGUGCUGACUCCAAGGCGACCUCGGAACUUCGUGUGCGGAGCUGCGUCGCCAGGAGCCGCCCUGGCCAAAGGCAGAGGUCUGAGAAUGAGCAGCACGCGGAGGAAGUGGAGCCACGCGCACUGUCGAGUGAGAAGAGCAGAGGGCCGACGAUGGAGCAUGAAGAGGUGGACGUGUACAUAGUCUCCAAGUGUCUUCCGUACCUGACACUUUUCCUACUUGUGACAAACAAGUAACUUUACAACGGAGAGACCUGCCAGAUACCAGCCUAACCCAAUGAUCAAAAUUAACAUCUCCAGGAAUGGGCCAAAGACCUCCUGAUAUGACGCCCUGCGAAGGACACCACCUCCCUUCUGUAAUAUUCCUCCCCCAAGUGCAUAAUCCGAGUCUAAUCAAGGGAACAGCAGACAAAUGUGUGCUGAAGAACAUUGUACAAAACAACAGGCCUGUGCUCUUCAAAACUGUCAAAGUUAAAAAAAACAACAAAAAACAACAAAAAAAACCGAAAGGCUAAGAAACCGUUCUGGAUUAAGGGAGACGAAAGAACAAACACAAUAACUAAAGAAUUCACUGCAUGAUCCUAGAUUAGAUCCUGUAGCAAGAUUUAUAAAGGGGGGGGGCUUGUUUUCUUUUGCUUCAGUUGCUUUGUGGCAAUUAGCGAAAUUUGAAAUAAAAUUUAUAGUCAUUAUAGACAUUAGUCCUGCUUUUGCAAUUUUGAUCUGACUUUUAGCACCAUGCUGUGUAAGAGAAGGCCCUUCUUUGGAGUUCCCGUCGUGGCGCAGUGGUUAACGAAUCCGACUAGGAACCAUGAGGUUGCGGGUUCAAUCCCUGGCCUCGCUCAGUGGGUUAAGAAUCCGGAGUUGCUGUGAGCUGUGGUAUAGGUCACAGAUGCUCCUCAGAUCCUGAGUUGCUGUGGCUCUGGUGUAGGCCGGUGGCUACAGCUCCAAUUAGACCCCUAGCCUGGGAACCUCCAUAUGCCUCGGGAAGUGGCCCUAGAAAAGGCAAAAAGAAAAAAAAAAAAGAGAGAGAGAAGAGAAGUCCCUUUUCGGGAAAGACCAACAGAACCAUUCAGUGGUAAAGGAGAGUUAUGUCCACAACUUUCUCUGUUUUGGGAAAAAAGCCAUGUGGGUGGGGAAGGGGGGAAGAGGGCUGGAAGAAGGAAGGGAGAGAGAGAGAGUGGAGAGAUGACAGGUAGAUAAUGCGAAAGGGAAUGUGAUAAAAUGUUAACAUUUGGGGAACAUGGGUAUAGAUAUACUAGAAUUCUUUGUGGCAUUGUUUUUAACGUUUCUGUAUGUCUAAAAUUAUUUUGUGGUGGGUAUUAAACGCGGAAGAUUAAGUAGAAUGGAAA